UCAUAAUUACUCAGUGUUUUAAAACCCGGACCGGCCCGGCAGGUCGACCCGGGACCCGGCUGACCUGGGCCUGGGACCGGUCCGGGUGGAGGCAAAAACCCGCUCGGGAGUUGGCCUGGUGAAACCCGGCCGACCCGGAGGGUCUACCCGGGACCUGGUCCACCCGGUCAAACCCGGCUGAGAUCGGUCUAUUUUUUUUUUAUACUGAUAGAUGUUAAACGACGAAGAACAAUGAAGCAGAAUUGGGCAUAUUGAUCACAGAGCAAACCUAAUUAACAAAAAGAUCAAUUUCAAUUGAUGAGGAGUUGAGCAGAGCAGAAGACGUCUUGAUCAUUGUUGUUUCACUAUGAGAAAGUUCUGGCAUCAUUUGGUUGUUCGUUGAAUCAGUCGUUUUGAUUCAUUCGCAGCCCAGUCAUCUUAACCUCAAGUAUGUUUCUCUUUUCUUUUCUUUUCUGCAGUAUAAUAAAUCUUCUGCUAUUAGGAAGUGUCGAAAAUGAAUGAGGAAACUAGUUUUGUUCGAUGCAUUUGCUUCUAGAACUGUUAUAGCCAGAGAUUGAAACUAUUUUGUUCUAAGAAUUGUUAUAGCCAGAGAUUGAAGCUGUUGUAAGAAUUAUUGAUUAUGGUUAAAAUAUUUCAUCU